UACGUAGGGGGCAAGCGUUGUCCGGACUUAUUGGGCGUAAAGAGCGUGUAGGCGGCCAUGUAGGUCCGUUGUGAAAACUCGAGGCUCAACCUCGAGACGCCGAUGGAAACCAUGUGGCUAGAGUCCGGAAGAGGAGAGUGGAAUUCCUGGUGUAGCGGUGAAAUGCGCAGAUAUCAGGAAGAACACCCGUGGCUAAGGCGGCUCUCUAGUACGGUACUGACGCUGAGACGCGAAAGCGUGGGGAGCGAACAGG
rnacentral:rRNA from 1 species